rnacentral:RNase_MRP_RNA from 1 species
GAGUUCUGUCGAUCCUUGCUUCGAGACUACACCCAGAGCUCUUUGUAGCUCAACUGUCUUGAGGAAAGUCCCCGGAUCGCUGGCAGAGAGUGUCACGUUUUAAACACGGAAGCAGCAACCAACGUUCCAUAACGGAUGGGAUCGUGCAAACGUGAUCUUAGGAAUGGGUUUGGCUGUGUUGGUCAUAGCAUAGUAAUGCAAGGGUUAUGUAAAUAACAUAAUGGGGCUCAGUCUGUCAGAACU